GUCCAACAAUAUAAUUGGGAACUGGUCAUCAAAACGUAGAUAUCAGUAUAUAUCUAGAAGAUACUUGACUGAAAUAUACAUGAAACAAAGAAAAAAUUCUACUACCAAAUCCUGACCAAGAUUCCAAAAUGAGAUUAGCACACAGAAUCCAAAGGCAAGUGACUUAACAGCACUUGUACAACAAAGCAAGCAACGCAACACAUUGCACACAAGCAUAUAAAAGAA
rnacentral:misc_RNA from 1 species